rnacentral:rRNA from 1 species
GACGUAGGGUCCAAGCGUUGUCCGGAUUUACUGGGCGUAAAGAGCGCGUAGGCGGUCUGUUAAGUGUAGAGUGAAAGCUCCGGGCUCAACCCGGAAAUUGCUCUGCAUACUGGCAGACUUGAGUGCAGUAGAGGCAAGCGGAAUUCCAGGUGUAGCGGUGAAAUGCGUAGAUAUCUGGAAGAACACCGGUGGCGCAAGCGGCUUGCUGGGACGGUACUGACGCUGAGGCGCGAAAGCGUGGGGAGCAAACAGG